CCCAAAUCCACUUCCUUCCCUACUUCUCAAUCUCCAACUCUCUACCCAGCGCUCUCGGCUCUCGAAUAUCCUUCAAAACUAUGAAGUUUAUAACUGCUAUAAAUCUGCUCGUCUGUAGUCCUUGAACGUACCUUGAAGAUCCUGUUUCCAGCCUCCUGUCUGGUAAGUGCAAUCACUCUAUAUUUUUGUGCGAAAUAAAUAUGCUUUGGUUCUGCCUCUGUUUGAGAACUCAUUUUUCUAAAUAUUUGAUCAGAGAUUUAAUUGUGUGGGUAAUGUGUUUGACGUAAUGACUUUGAGAAGAGUCGUUUAUUAUGUAUGAUUUGAAUGUGAUUUGAAUUUAUGGUAAUGGUAUAGAGGCUGAAAGUAACGAUUAGUUUCUGCCUGAUGAAAUGAAACUAAUGUUCGAGUAGAUUUUUUGAAAUAAGGUUGAGAUGACAACGAAAAAAAUCGAAACGUGUCUUUCUGGGGGCUAUGAUUUAAAUUUUGGGAUUUCUAUUCUCAUAUUCACCAUUAGAACAAGAUUCGAAGAAGAUGAAUCAUAGGACUAAUUGUAGCCAGAAGAACAAUGUUUAUAUACGUGAAUUCAAUGAAUGACUGGCAUGAAGAUCUUUUAAGUACCAAUAUAUCAAAUUUGAAUAAUUUGUAGAUAACAAUAACUUUAAAACAGUUGGAAAUCCAACGCUUGGAUUUAAGAAUCACUUUGAUUAGUAUUUGCAUAUCUUUAGGCCAGUGGCUCCCAAAAUAGGCAUCUAAUAUGGAUACAACUAAGAAUGCUCUCCUAAGGGAAGUUGUAAGAACAAUCAAGACAAACAAAUUAUAGCAAAGUGGACAAUACUGCUGGUAAAGGAUCACUUUCACAUUUUUCUUUCAUUUGACUUCUCCCUCCAAUAAACAUUCAUAACUGCUUCUCUUUGAUACAUGUCUUCAACAUAAGUGGAAACCAUCUUUUGAAGUUCUGUUGAUAACCAUAAUGGUUAAUUGGAAAUUUGUUCAAUUACAUAAUUUCAAAUAUAUCUAUUAUCUAUUAUAGAGAAGUGUUACAAUGACACAUAAAGAAACCAACACUUAUGUUUUUGGCCAUCAAUAUUAAUAGAUAAUAAGCAUUCGAAUUAAGGGCCAGUUACCAAACAUUGAUCAAUAAAAGACUUUUUAGCCACUAUUUAGUCCUUGCUAAUAUUUUGACCAAUGGUUUAUUUGAACUUUUAGUUGGUUUCUAUAAAUACAUUAAUAUUUUUCUAAUUAGUAAAUCUAACAAAGAAUGAACAAGAGGACAAGAAAAAAAAAGAUAAAAAUAAGAAACUUACUUCCCUCAGUAGACAAGUAUAUGGUUAUCAACAUAUCUGUUGAUAACCAUCUUCUCUUUGAGUAAUUUCCACUUCAACAUAAGUGAAAAUUUGUUCUUAAUUGGAAAUUACAUAAGUGGAUAACCAUAAACAUUCAUAAGUAAAUUGAAUUUCUUAAUUGGAAAUUUCUCCAAGGUGUGUUGUAGUUUCCUCCCAAAAAUAUUAAAAUCUUGAAAUUCUUCCUCCCAAACUCAUUUUAAGAAUGAUGUAUUUUAUUUGUAGAACUUUUCUCUGGCAAAUGGUUACCCAAUAUUUGAUGGCACACUAAUCUUGCCUUAAGGCUUAAAUUCCAGGCUAUGUGGUUACCCUGACCAAAAUAAGGAUCCGAAUAAUUUUCAUACUAAAUUUUAUAUUAAAAUUUUCUGCUCUCUAAUCCUUUUGCUUGUGUGUGUGUCUAAAUAUAAACUGACACGUUUUAUUCUUUGAGGAAUAAGGGAUUGGUGCAUAAUUAGUCAAUUGUGUAGAAGCACCCCGAAAAUCGUUGAAGUUGUUCUCUUUCGUCACAAUUGUGAUAAAUUAUAGAGUGGUUUAAUUAUUUGGGGUCUAACUUAUUCUGGUUGAACAUAUGUUUACUUGGAGAUAUUUGACCGAAUGCUUCCUAUGUAAGGUGUUCAUUAGGAUUGAGCAGAAAAAUAGUGUUUUUUCGUAUAACCAUUUAAUGGUUGAAAAAAAAUGUAUGGUAUAACAGGUUAUGUCUUAAUACUGUGGGUAUAGCAUCAUGGAUAAAGAUUGGAUACACCUAUUAAGGUUAUCUUAUCCCCUUAAGUUUAGAAUGUUUUUAAAUAUGUUCGUAUACACUUUUAGAUGAUUUACUUAUUGUUUUAUUAUAGAGUUUUGAAGGCAUAUCAACACGGUGCAAGAAAGUUUGCAAAUAUGGUGCAAGCCAAUGCAGGGAAUCCAAAAAAGGUCAAAUGCCCUUGCAAAUGUUGCAAAACCCUAUUUUACCAACAUUUUGAUACAAGUAUGGGCAUUUGAUCAUUCAUGGGAUGGAUCUUACUUAUACUGCGUGGGUGUUUCAUGGCAAAAAAUCAAAUGCAUCAUUACCUCCUCAAGAUGUAGAAAAUUUUGAGACAUAUAGGAUGUAUAGAGAUGCAUUUCUUCAAGAUGACAAUAACAUAGAACUUGAGAAUAAAGAUCAAAAGAAAGAAUUUUCUAAUUUAUACAAGGGGGUUGAAAUUCCUUUAUAUCCCAGUUGUACAAAGUAUACAAGAAUAUCUACAAUCGUUGUAUUAUACAAGUUUAAAACUACGCAUGGUAUAUCUAAUAAUGGUUUCAAUGAAUUUCUUGAAAUAAUUCGAGACAUGCUACCGCAUGGGAGCACUCUUCCCGAUUCCUGUAAUUCAACAAAAAGGUUGUUGAAAACCUUUGAUUUAGGAUAUGAGAAGAUACAUGCAUGCGUAAAUGAUUGUUGUUUGUUUAGAAAGGAUCUAAAGGAUUUGGAGACAUGUCCAAAAUGUGCAUCUUCACGUUGGAAAGUUAAUAAGCGGACUAAGAAUAUUCAAAAGGGAAUACCUGCAAAAGUUUUACGAUAUUUUCCAAUUGUACCAUGAUUUAGAAUAAUGUUUAGGUCACCUGACACGGCAGAACAACUAAUAUGGCACUUAAAUCACAAAAGUCAAGAUGGAAAAAUGUGUCAUCCAGUUGAUUCAUUAGCUUGGGAGAGAAUUGAUCAAAAAUAGCCUUCUUUUGCAUCAGAACCACAAAAAUCUUAGGCUUGGCCUUUCGUCCGAUGGAUUUAAUCCUUUUGGUGACCUAAGUUCUAGGUAUAGUUGUUGGUCGGUGAUUCUAGUUACAUAUAAUCUACCUCCUAGGAUAUGCAUGUCCAAGGAAAACUUAUUAUUGACUUUGUUAAUCCCAGGUCCAAAGCAACCUGGAAAUGAUAUAGAUGUAUAUCUAAAACCACUUAGAGAAGACUUAAAGGAGUUGUGGAAUAUCGGUGUUGAAAUAUAUGAUGGACUUACCAAGUUUAUCUUCAAUUUGAAGGUUGUAUUGAUGUGGACAAUUAAUGAUUUUUUUAUUUAUGAAAACUUAUUUGGAUAUCCUACAAAGGACGAGGCGGCAUGCCCUAUAUGUGGUUUAUCUGCAUGUGUAAAAUGGUUGACAUAUAGUCGAAAGUUCGCAUAUAUAGGUCAUAGAAGAUUUAUUUCGUAUAAUCAUCAUUUUCGAUCGAAAGAAGCUUGGUUUGAUGGAAAUAAGGAUUACACGCCCAAUCCAAAAAUAUUAACUGGUCGAGAAAUGAUGGUUCAAUAAAGAAUGUUAGCAAUGAUUGGGGGAAAAAGGGGAAAAAAGGAAACAAAAAAAAUUAGAUUCCCAUUGGCCAUGGAAAAAGAAAUCAAUAUUCUUUGAUCUACCAUAUUGGGAGGUUAGUUUUUCAAACUAUUUGAAUUUAGUUAUCUUUUUGCAUAACUUUUUUUCUAAAUUUAUAUCAUUAUUUUCAGAUACUACUUUUACGUCAUAAUUUGGAUGUAAUGCACAUUGAGAAUAAUGUUUGUGAAAGCAUACUUAGUACUAUUCUGAAUAUGAAAGGAAAAUCAAAAGAUGGGCUCAAUUCUCAUAAGUAUUUGCUUAAUAUGGGUAUUAGAAAAGAUCUUCAUCCAGAGUUGAAAGGAAAUACAUAUUAAUUACCCGCAGCAUCAUACAUGCUAUCCAAAAAAGAGAGAGUUAUUUUGUAAGAGAUUAUUUGAUUUAAGAUUACCUAAUGGUUAUAGCUCUAACAUUUCAAAGUGUAUCUCAAUAACAAAUGAUAGAAUUUUAAAUCUAAAGUCUCAUGAUUGUCACGUGCUCAUACAACAAUUGUUAUUCGUUACAUUAAGAUGACUUUUACCUAGAGGACCAAGAAAUGCAAUUUUUUGACUAUGUGCAUUUUUUAACGAAAUAUGUCGAAGAGUUAUUAAUAAAAAUAAUUUAGAAAAGUUUGAGGAGGAUGUUGCUGUGAUUUUAUGUAUGCUUGAAAGCUUUUUCCCCCUUCUUUUUUUGACAUAAUGAUUCAUUUAACUAUUCACCUUGGGCAUGAAGUUCGUAUUGGCGGACCUAUACAAUAUCGUUGGAUGUACCCAUUUGUGAGGUAACUUAGCAUUAUACUUUUGUACUUAUUCAACCUUUCUUCUUCUAAUUAUUUAGGUCUCUCGUGCAUAUUAUGUGUGAAUUAGGUUUAUGAACACACUUAAAAGAUAUGUUAGAAAUCGUUCAAGACAUGAAGGCUGCAAAGCAAAGCGUUCUUUAGCCGAUAAAUGUAUGCAUUUUUGUAGUGGUUACAUGAAACAAGCUGCUAAGAUAGGGGUUCGAUAUAAUCGAAAUGAGGAUUUUGAGAAUGACACAACUAUUGAUGGACGUACAGUUUCUAAACAAAAGUUAGAGAUUUUGAGUCAAGAAAUGUUAGAGAUCGCUCAUCGUUAUAUGUUGUUUAAUAGUGCAGCAGUUGAACCGUAUAUAAUGUAAUCAAGUUAGUUAAUAAGUUAGUUUUACAUUGAUUAAUAUUUUCUCGCAAACUUGUCUGACUAUUUAUUUAUUUAUUUUAUUUAGGAUGCAUAUAGAGGAGAAUAAAAAUUCAAAUAGCCAUGCUGCCAAGAAUGAAACCUUAUUACAAAUGAAAAAUAUAGAGACUUUCACUUCUUGGUUUAUAGAAAAAGGCAAAGAAGACAAUUGUAACAUGUCAAGUACAUUGAAAUGGCUUGCACGACGACCAAGAUGUGAGGUGAUGUCACAUUCUGGUUAUGUUAUCAAUGGACAUCGAUUUCAUACAACCGAUGUUAGUAGAAGUAUACAAAACAGUGGUGUUUCUAUUGAGGCACAAACUAUAUGCCAAUCUAAUGUGAAGGAUACAAGUCAUGUAGUUGGUAAAAUUUCUUAUCAUGGUGUUAUAAAAGAUAUAAUUCUACUAGACUAUCAUAGUUUUAAAGUUCUUAUGUUUCAUUGUGAUUGGGCAAAUAAAGAUAGCGAAGUCAAGAUUGAAGAAAGGUUUUACAUUGGUAAAUCAUCAUAGAGGACAACAUCAAUUUGAAAGAGAUCCAUUUAUCUUAGCAUCACAAGCAAAACAAGUUUUUUAUUCUAGAGAAAGUAAUACGUCUAGUUGGUAUAUUAUAUUGAAGGCACCUCCUAGAGGAUUUCAUGAGUCAGAAAAUUUUGAUGAUGAUGCUUAUACUCCAUCCACAUUAGAUGCAUCAUUAAGACUUGAUAUGACUGUUGAAGAUGAAAGUUACGUGAGAUAUGACUGUGAUGGCAUUGAUAUUGAAUAUGGUAAUUGUAUAGAUUUAAGAUUCUCUCUUUCUUGCAUUAUAUUUUAUUGAUAUUACAUUAAUGUUAAUGUCUCUAAUUCUAUUCUUUCUUAAUUUAUUUAUGUAGAUGCAAAUGAUGAAAGCUGACUUUUGUGGAAACUGACGUGCAAAAUGACUGGACAUAAUAUGCAAAAUCUUGGUGAAGUAAGUUAUGAGGUUGUGUAUAAAGGUUUCAAAUGUCUUCAUGUUAAAUUUAAGAAAAAAUUAUGAUUUCUUAUUUGUGCAAUGCAGUCAUCUACUCAGGGAUACAAGAAAUCAAAAUGAGCUAAAAAAGCUUCGGUUGUUGUUGCCACAAGAGAAGGAAAUGAAGGCAUAAGAAUAUCAGAGAGAGGUUUUAAUUCUGUGCAACAUGAUGCAGAAGUCUUGCUAAAUAGCUUCAGUACUACUGAAAAAGGAAAGAAAGGAAGGGGUCGAGCAAAGUUGAACUAUCUCAACAAGGGAAAAUGUACAAAGUUAACUGUAGAAUUUAAUGAAAGAGGGCAACCAAUUUGUAAAGGAUCAAAUAAGUUAUCAUCGUUCUUUGGAACCACGGCUAGGGAACUUAUACCUAUUACAAAGAAAAAUUGGAAAGAUUUCAACGAAAGUUUUCUUUAUGACAUAUGGGAGUUUGUGCAGGUGAUAUAAACCUCACAUCACAUAUAGUGUAAAUUAAAUUAUUAUUAAUCUUGUGUAUUUUGAUGUAGCAAAGGUUUGAUAUUGACAUUUGUCAUAGAAAGUACAUUAUGCAAAAAUUGGGAAAGAGUUGGAGGGAUCAUCGAUCUGAUAUGCUAAAAACAAUCAGCAACAAAGGAAGAAAAAUUGGCAGACACGAGUUGCUGCUCUUCUCAAGCCAAAUAAUGUUGACUCAAUGGAAGAAUGGUAAGCAUUUGUCAAAUAACGCAAUUCUCAACCAUACAAGGUAUGUUCCAUUGCUCUUAUAUACUGAAUGUGCAUGUUAUAAGUUACUGUGGGCAAACCAGAUGAAUAUUCUUUUAUAUUGUGAAUGGGUAAUGAUUGUAAUGGUGUUACAUAUCCUUUCUAUAAUGAAUUAAGUUGUUAGAUGAUGAUUUCCUAUAGGUUCCUAGCUCUUCCUACUACUUUCACUUUCGUUAACAAAAAAGAAAGUAUAACACUAUCCAUAAUGUUGUGUUUAUACAAUAAUUUUCAAAUUUUGCAGGAAAAAAAUGAUAGGUUUAAAAAUAUGAGAGCUAGUCAAACUAUGUUGCAUACAACGAGUAGAAAAGGCUUUGCCUGCUUAGAAGCAGAAAUGGUAAAAUUUAUGUUAAAUUAUAAGUUAAAUUGGCUUGAAAAUUUGUCAAUGUGUACAAACUAUCAUGUAUACGAAAUGGGUAAAACAAAUUGCAGCACUUGAUUCCAUUACGAGAGAUGAUAUUUAUAUUCGAGGACGUAGGUGAAAAAAUGGUGAAUCAAUUAAUGAAUCAGUUGGAGAAACAUUGGUAACGAAUUUGUUCUUUGAAUUUUCUUCUGGUAAUUCAAAGUUUAUAUUUGCAUUACUUUAAACCAUUAAUGUAUUUCUUGAUAUUAGUAAAAAAUAAAAACUUGUUCAUAAACAGUUACCUCUCCAAGUAAACAAUCUCUCAUAGAUGAUGGUGUUGCAAGAAUACUUGGUCUGGAACGUCGAGGAUGAGUAAGAGGGCUUGGCUCCGGUGCAACUCCUUCAAAGUUGAAUGCUUUGGUACAAAGUCAGAACUUGCAAACUCAAGUACAAGAGUUAAGAGAUGAAAUUAAAGAAUUGAAAGCUUUAUUUCAACAGAAGAGUAAAAGUGUUGAACAAGAAAAUGUAAGUGCGAAACUAUCGUUACUGGUUGAUAUUCUAUACUUUAUAUUCUUUUCUAUAUUCAAAUUAUCAAAUUGUACUUUCAUAUGAAUUUUACAACAUAGUGAUAGAAGCUCGAAUGGUUUAGAUAAUUAUCAGAGUAAGAAAUGCAAAUUGUUACGUUGGUUUGGGAAAGCUAAUGUAGUUGCAAAAAGUGAAAUCGUAUCAACAAAUCCUUGUGAUCUAAUGCAUCAUGUAUCCCUUGGCGAUGAAUGUUGGAGAGUUUGGGUUAAUGAAGUUAUUGACAAUGUUACCUUAUAUCGUCCCACACGGGAACUAUUUCUUCUUGAAGAUGCAUUAAGAAGUACAAUUGCAUGGCCAAUCAAGUUUAUCAAAAUGGAUUAAUUGUAAGAAAAACAAAUGUAUGCUUCACUUGGUUUUUAUAUCAUUUUUCAUUUGUAUACUCACUUUAAUUUAUUAACUAUACAUUCAUUUAUUUUUGUGAUGUGCAAGGAGUUGCUUAUUUUUGGGACAACAAAAUUGCUGAUCAAAUUAAUCAAAAUCGAAGUGGAUCAAUUAUUUUGUACUAUUUUAAUUAUUUAUUUUUGGAUUAGUUGCCUAUACUUUUGAAUAUUGAUAUCAACUAUUUGAGUAGGCUAAUGAUGUUCUUAGUUCGUUUCAAAAUUAACUCUACAUUUUAACAUUUGUAUUAGUUUUAUUUAUUGUAAUUAUGGAAG
rnacentral:lncRNA from 1 species